UACGUAGGGUGCGAGCGUUGUCCGGAAUUACUGGGCGUAAAGAGCUCGUAGGUGGUUUGUCGCGUUGUUCGUGAAAACUCACAGCUCAACUGUGGGCGUGCGGGCGAUACGGGCAGACUGGAGUACUGCAGGGGAGACUGGAAUUCCUGGUGUAGCGGUGAAAUGCGCAGAUAUCAGGAAGAACACCAAUGGCGAAGGCAGCUCUCUGGGACGGUACUGACGCUGAGACGCGAAAGCGUGGGGAGCGAACAGG
rnacentral:rRNA from 1 species